rnacentral:rRNA from 1 species
CUGACUGGUGGCGACCGGCGCACGGGUGCGUAACGCGUAUGCAAUCUACCUUAUACUGGAGGAUAGCCCGGGGAAACUCGGAUUAAUACUCCAUGGUAUCACAGAUAGGCAUCUUGAAGUGAUUAAAGAUUUAUCGGUAUAAGAUGAGCAUGCGUCUGAUUAGAUAGUUGGUGAGGUAACGGCUCACCAAGUCAACGAUCAGUAGGGGUUCUGAGAGGAUGAUCCCCCACACUGGCACUGAGAUACGGGCCAGACUCCUACGGGAGGCAGCAGUAGGGAAUAUUGGUCAAUGGGCGAAAGCCUGAACCAGCCAUGCCGCGUGCAGGAUGACGGCCUUCUGGGUUGUAAACUGCUUUUAUAUGGGAAGAAAAAGGCCUUGCGAGGCAAAUUGCCGGUACCAUAUGAAUAAGCACCGGCUAACUCCGUGCCAGCAGCCGCGGUAAUACGGAGGGUGCAAGCGUUGUCCGGAUUUAUUGGGUUUAAAGGGUACGUAGGCGGAUCUUUAAGUCCGUGGUGAAAGCCUACAGCUUAACUGUAGAACUGCCAUGGAUACUGGAGAUCUUGAAUUCAGUUGAGGUAAGCGGAAUUUAUGAUGUAGCGGUGAAAUGCAUAGAUAUCAUAAAGAACACCUAUUGCGAAGGCAGCUUGCUGGACUUGAAUUGACGCUGAGGUACGAAAGCGUGGGGAGCGAACAGGAUUAGAUACCCUGGUAGUCCACGCCGUAAACGAUGAUUACUCGCUGCUGGCGAUACACUGUCAGUGGCCAAGCGAAAGCGUUAAGUAAUCCACCUGGGGAGUACGCUCGCAAGAGUGAAACUCAAAGGAAUUGA